rnacentral:tRNA from 1 species
GGGGGCUUAGCUUAAGUUAAAGCGAAUGAUUUGCGUUCAUUAGAUGUAGGAUAACUCCUGUAGUCUCUA